ACUUUUGUGCAGUGGCAUUAUCAUGGCCAAUGAGGUUAAUCCGAGGUACGAUUAUUGCUAAUUGAAAACUUGUAAAAGUAUUGACUUGUUAUUCAGAAAUUGCUUCAGCA
rnacentral:snRNA from 1 species